rnacentral:tRNA from 1 species
GGCUGUAUAGAGUAAUGGGAACUACACUCCGGGUCGUAUGCCACAAUGGAGGGUUAGCGGUUCGAGUCCGCUUGCAGCCA